UACGUAGGGGGCAAGCGUUGUCCGGAAUCAUUGGGCGUAAAGAGCGUGUAGGCGGCCCGAUAAGUCCGCUGUGAAAGUCACAGGCUCAACCUGUGAAUGCCGCUGGAAACUGUCUGGCUUGAGUCCGGAAGGGGCGAGUGGAAUUCCUGGUGUAGCGGUGAAAUGCGCAGAUAUCAGGAGGAACACCGGUGGCGAAGGCGGGUCUCUGGGCCGGAUAUUGACGCUGGAGGAGCG
rnacentral:rRNA from 1 species